GUCAAAUUGUAAGGAAAAUGUGAACUGCUGCAACAAGUCAGGCCUGCACGGUUCUUUCAGGGAAUGAUUGUAAAGAUUUACAAAGAAUACGUUUAUCACGUUUAGUCUCUUAAUGGGA